GGGCUAGUGGCGCAAUGGAUAACGCAUCUGACUGCGGUUCAGAAUUUUCCAGGUUCGACUCCUGGCUAGCUCG
rnacentral:tRNA from 1 species